rnacentral:rRNA from 1 species
GUGCCAGCAGCCGCGGUAAGACGGAGGGGGCAAGCGUUGUCCGGACUUACUGGGCGUAAAGCGCACGUAGGCGGCUCGAUGCGUCGGUGCUGAAAGCGCCAGGCUUAACCUGGCGAGGCGUGCCGAUACGAUCGGGCUUGAGGCAGGCAGAGGGUGGCGGAAUUCCGGGUGUAGUGGUGAAAUGCGUAGAGAUCCGGAGGAACGCCUGUGGCGCAAGCGGCCACCUGGGCCUGUCCUGACGCUGAGGUGCGAAAGCGUGGGGAGCGAACCGGAUUAGAAACCCCAGUAGUCC